rnacentral:rRNA from 1 species
GACGAACGCUGGCGGCAUGCCUAAUACAUGCAAGUUGAGCGCUGAAGGUUGGUACUUGUACCAACUGGAUGAGCAGCGAACGGGUGAGUAACGCGUGGGGAAUCUGCCUUUGAGCGGGGGACAACAUUUGGAAACGAAUGCUAAUACCGCAUAAAAACUUUAAACACAAGUUUUAAGUUUGAAAGAUGCAAUUGCAUCACUCAAAGAUGAUCCCGCGUUGUAUUAGCUAGUUGGUGAGGUAAAGGCUCACCAAGGCGAUGAUACAUAGCCGACCUGAGAGGGUGAUCGGCCACAUUGGGACUGAGACACGGCCCAAACUCCUACGGGAGGCAGCAGUAGGGAAUCUUCGGCAAUGGACGAAAGUCUGACCGAGCAACGCCGCGUGAGUGAAGAAGGUUGUCGGAUCGUAAAACUCUGUUGGUAGAGAAGAACGUUGGUGAGAGUGGAAAGCUCAUCAAGUGACGGUAACUACACAGAAAGGGACGGCUAACUACGUG